rnacentral:rRNA from 1 species
AGAGUUUGAUCCUGGCUCAGGAUGAACGCUAGCUACAGGCUUAACACAUGCAAGUCGAGGGGCAGCAUGGUCUUAGCUUGCUAAGGCCGAUGGCGACCGGCGCACGGGUGAGUAACACGUAUCCAACCUGCCGUCUACUCUUGGACAGCCUUCUGAAAGGAAGAUUAAUACAAGAUGGCAUCAUGAGUCCACAUGUUCACAUGAUUAAAGGUAUUCCGGUAGACGAUGGGGAUGCGUUCCAUUAGAUAGUAGGCGGGGUAACGGCCCACCUAGUCUUCGAUGGAUAGGGGUUCUGAGAGGAAGGUCCCCCACAUUGGAACUGAGACACGGUCCAAACUCCUACGGGAGGCAGCAGUGAGGAAUAUUGGUCAAUGGGCGAGAGCCUGAACCAGCCAAGUAGCGUGAAGGAUGACUGCCCUAUGGGUUGUAAACUUCUUUUAUAAAGGAAUAAAGUCGGGUAUGGAUACCCGUUUGCAUGUACUUUAUGAAUAAGGAUCGGCUAACUCCGUGCCAGCAGCCGCGGUAAUACGGAGGAUCCGAGCGUUAUCCGGAUUUAUUGGGUUUAAAGGGAGCGUAGAUGGAUGUUUAAGUCAGUUGUGAAAGUUUGCGGCUCAACCGUAAAAUUGCAGUUGAUACUGGAUAUCUUGAGUGCAGUUGAGGCAGGCGGAAUUCGUGGUGUAGCGGUGAAAUGCUUAGAUAUCACGAAGAACUCCGAUUGCGAAGGCAGCCUGCUAAGCUGCAACUGACAUUGAGGCUCGAAAGUGUGGGUAUCAAACAGGAUUAGAUACCCUGGUAGUCCACACGGUAAACGAUGAAUACUCGCUGUUUGCGAUAUACAGCAAGCGGCCAAGCGAAAGCGUUAAGUAUUCCACCUGGGGAGUACGCCGGCAACGGUGAAACUCAAAGGAAUUGACGGGGGCCCGCACAAGCGGAGGAACAUGUGGUUUAAUUCGAUGAUACGCGAGGAACCUUACCCGGGCUUAAAUUGCAGAUGAAUUACGGUGAAAGCCGUAAGCCGCAAGGCAUCUGUGAAGGUGCUGCAUGGUUGUCGUCAGCUCGUGCCGUGAGGUGUCGGCUUAAGUGCCAUAACGAGCGCAACCCUUG